GUGCUCACUUUGGAAGUAUAUGUACUAAAAUUAGAAUGAUAUAGAAAAGUUAGCAUGACCCUUGCACAAGGUUGACAUGUAAAUUUGUGACGCGUUCCAUAGUUUU
ensembl:snRNA U6 U6 spliceosomal RNA